rnacentral:rRNA from 1 species
GAUGAACGCUAGCGGCAGGCCUAAUACAUGCAAGUCGAACGAUAGUGAGAAGCUUGCUUCUCACGAAAGUGGCGCACGGGUGCGUAACGCGUAUGCAACCUACCUUAAUCAGGGGGAUAGCCCGAAGAAAUUCGGAUUAACACCGCAUAAAAUCACAGUAUAGCAUUAUACAAUGAUCAAAUAUUUAUAGGAUUAAGAUGGGCAUGCGUGACAUUAGUUAGUUGGCGGGGUAACGGCCCACCAAGACCACGAUGUCUAGGGGAUCUGAGAGGAUGACCCCCCACACUGGUACUGAGACACGGACCAGACUCCUACGGGAGGCAGCAGUAAGGAAUAUUGGUCAAUGGAGGCAACUCUGAACCAGCCAUGCCGCGUGCAGGAAGACAGCCCUCUGGGUCGUAAACUGCUUUUAUUCGGGAAUAAACCUAUCUACGUGUAGAUAGCUGAAUGUACCGAAGGAAUAAGGAUCGGCUAACUCCGUGCCAGCCGCCGCCGUAA